CACGUAAAAAAGAAAACCAUGGGUGAUUUUUGAAUUCAGUUAAUAUGACUAUACAACAUAAAUUCUCAUAGUUGAAUUAUUUUUGAGAUAUUAAAUUCAAAUUUUCAUAUCUUCCUCUUCUAGGUUACUAUAAGUGAAAAGAAAAUUGUGUAUCUAUUUUUGUUUCGGCCAUUUAUGAUGACACACGUAUAUGACCGAAACAAAGAAGCAAACUUUUGUUGAAAUCAGUGGAGAAGUGUAUGCUCACCUUAAAUUUGAUCUCUAUAAACACCCACCUACAUAACUAAUUCAGUAAACACUAUCUCAUAAAGCAUAAGAAAGAACAGAGAGAAACAAAAAAAUGGAGUUUUUGAGAUCACAAAUUGUAUUAUGUUGUGUCUUUUUGUUGUUCCUAACGGGAAGCUUUGCACAAGAUGUUGGUACAAUUGUGACAAGUGACUUGUUCAACGAGAUGCUGAAGAAUCGAAACGAUGAUAGAUGUCCUGCCAAGGGCUUCUACACUUAUGAUGCAUUUAUAGCUGCAGCCAAUUCAUUCCCAGGUUUUGGUACUACUGGUGAUGAUACUGCACGUAAGAAAGAAAUUGCUGCCUUUUUCGGUCAAACAUCUCACGAAAAUACUGGCGGUAGCCUAAGUGCAGAUGGUCCAUUUGCCGGAGGAUAUUGUUUUGUUAGGGAAGGCAAUCAAAUGGGAAGUGGAUUUUAUGGCAGAGGACCUAUGGGUAUGUAAAACAGAGGAAAAUAGCAAUCGAACUAUGACUUAGCUGGGCAAGCAAUUGGACAAGACUUAGUUAACAACCCUGACUUAGUAGCUACAGAUGCAACUGUAUCUUUUAAAACAGCAAUAUGGUUCUGGAUGACCGCACAAGGCAAUAAGCCAUCAUGCCACGAUGUUAUCACAGGGCAAUGGACGCCAUCAGCAGCCGAUGCAUCAGCAAAUAGACCACCAGGCUACGGUGUCAUUACAAACAUAAUUAACGGUGGAAUUGAAUGUGGCAAAGGACAGAAUCCACAAGUGGAGGAUCGGAUUGGAUUCUACAGAAGGUAUUGUACGAUAUUGAGUGUUGCUCCCGGGGACAACCUUGAUUGCUACGACCAGAGGAACUUUGCUGAGGCCUAGCCUUAUGUUUUAGUCAUGAUGAUGUCUGAAUAUAAGGGAAUGAAUAAGGGAUUUUGGAUGCCCCGUUUGGAAUAUGUAGUUUCUUAUUUUGUCUACACAAAUAAGAGUUUCUUUAUCUUAUAACAUAAUAUACCACAUGUAUUAUCUCAUCGAUAUUUUAA